rnacentral:rRNA from 1 species
CCUACGGGAGGCAGCAGUGGGGGAUAUUGCACAAUGGGGGAAACCCUGAUGCAGCGACGCCGCGUGAGGGAAGACGGUUUUCGGAUUGUAAACCUCUGUCUUUGGGGACGAAUUGAGACGGUACCCAAGGAGGAAGCACCGGCUAAUUCCGUGCCAGCAGCCGCGGUAAUACGGAAGGUCCGGGCGUUAUCCGGAUUUAUUGGGUUUAAAGGGAGCGUAGGCCGCAUGUCAAGCGUGCUGUGAAAUGUCCGGGCUCAACCCGGGCCUUGCAGCGCGAACUGGCGUGCUUGAGUCCGCGGAAAGCAGGCGGAAUUCGUCGUGUAGCGGUGAAAUGCUUAGAUAUGACGAAGAACCCCGAUUGCGAAGGCAGCUUGCUGCAGCGGAACUGACGCUGAUGCUCGAAAGCGCGGGUAUCGAACAGGAUUAGAUACCCGGGUAGUC